rnacentral:rRNA from 1 species
CCCUUAGAUGUUCUGGGCUGCACGCGCGCUACACUGACGCACGCAACAGGUGCCUGCUCCGAGAGGACUGGGUAAUCAUUUGAGUGUGCGUCGUGAUGGGGAUAGAAUAUUGUAAUUAUUACUCUUCAACGAGGAAUUCCUAGUAAGCGCAAGUCAGCAGCUUGCGUUGAUUACGUCCCUGCCCUUUGUACACACCGCCCGUCGCUACUACCGAUUGAAUGGUUUAGUGAGAUCUUCGGAUUGGCGCCACUGCGGCUCAGCAAUGGGCUCGGUGGAUGCCGAAAAGUUGAUCAAACUUGAUCAUUUAGAGGAAGUAAAAGUCGUAACA